UGGGGAAUAUUGCACAAUGGGCGAAAGCCUGAUGCAGCAACGCCGCGUGAGUGAUGAAGGCCUUCGGGUUGUAAAGCUCUGUCUUUUGGGACGAUAAUGACGGUACCAAAGGAGGAAGCCACGGCUAACUACGUGCCAGCAGCCGCGGUAAUACGUAGGUGGCAAGCGUUGUCCGGAUUUACUGGGCGUAAAGGAUGCGUAGGCGGAUUUUUAAGUGAGAUGUGAAAUACCCGGGCUUAACUUGGGUGCUGCAUUUCAAACUGGGAAUCUAGAGUGCGGGAGAGGAGAAUGGAAUUCCUAGUGUAGCGGUGAAAUGCGUAGAGAUUAGGAAGAACACCAGUGGCGAAGGCGAUUCUCUGGACCGUAACUGACGCUGAGGCAUGAAAGCGUGGGUAGCAAACAGGAUUAGAUACCCUGGUAGUCCACGCCGUAAACGAUGAGUACUAGGUGUAGGAGGUAUCGACCCCUUCUGUGCCGCAGUUAACACAAUCAAGUACUCCGCCUGGGAAGUACGAUC
rnacentral:rRNA from 1 species